rnacentral:pre_miRNA from 1 species
GUUGAGAGGAAUGUUGUCUGGCUCGAGGUCAUGAAGGAAAGGAUCAUUCCAUUUAAAUUUGAAAGAACGAACAAAGAAUACACUACAUGAUUCUCGGACCAGGCUUCAUUCCCCCUAAC